GGUGCGGAGUCCAGUUUCGCAGGGAAGAUUUAGGCAGUUGUCCCCACCUCCUGACUUCCGGUCCCGGUCGUCGGAACAGGGCCGUGGCCGCGAUGGAAGAACCUGAGAUGCAGCUCAAGGGGAAAAAAGUCACAGACAAAUUCACUGAGAGCGUCUAUGUCCUGGCCAACGAGCCAUCCGUGGCCCUGUACCGGCUGCAGGAGCACGUGCGACGCUCUCUGCCUGAGCUGGCCCAGCAUAAGGCUGACAUGCAGCGGUGGGAGGAGCAGAGCCAGGGAGCCAUCUACACAGUGGAGUAUGCCUGCAGUGCUGUGAAGAACCUUGUCGACAGCAGCGUCUACUUCCGCAGCGUGGAGGGUCUCCUCAAACAGGCCAUCAACAUCCGAGACCACAUGAACGCCACAGCCCAGGGCCACAGGUAGCUCCCGGGACCACCCUCCCCUGCUGCUCUCAGCCUCCUUGCUGUCAGGACCUCCGCUGCUCAGCCAGGAACUGCCACUGCUCGCUCCUUAGACAACUCCCUUUCUUUGUCUCACGAUGUCUCGUGACUUCCUCUUGCCCUUUGGCGUCUGUAGCAGGAGAGUUCAGUCUCUCAGCACCCAGCUCCUGAGCUCUGCCGGGUGCCUGGCCCUGGGCUGGGUGCCAGGGACAUGGCAGCGACCAAGACAGGUGUGCCCAUGUUCUCACAGGGAGACGCACGGCAACCAGCCCUGAGGAACUGCCCCCGCCCUCCUCGGCCUGAUCCCAGAAGAGACUUGGAGGUGCUUUGGCCCCUCUGACCCAGGACCCUGCCUCAGCUACAACCUCAUCAGGGCUACCCUGCCACCCUGGGGAGUCUCUCAGACCUUGCCUUGACCCAUCUCCUGCCCCUCAGCUCCUCCAGAGCUGGGCCUUCGUACACAGUCUUGUGGGACUUGGAGGGGACCGAAGACCAAGCAAGUGUGGCCAGCGUGUUCCUUCUGCUCCUGCCUGGGGCCUCCAGGCCAGCCGUGAAUGUCCUGAGACAAGGCUUUGCUGCCCCUGGACUCUUACCUGCCCGCCCAUUGAUGGACACGGCCAUGGCCAUGGCCCCUUGGACCAAUAACUGCCACCAUGACAAUCCUGAUCACACACCUGCCAUGUGCCCAGAGCUGUGCUGGGAACUUCACCAAGGCCAUCUUUCAUCCUCAGACAGCCCUGUAAGGCAGAUGUCACCCCAAAUACAGAUGGGAUAAGAGAGGCUCUGAGAUACGGCAUGAUUUGUGUGAGGUCACACAACUAGAGAGAGCAGACCCCAGCCUAGUUUGGCCCCAGCACUGCCUCUGACAUGCUGUGUGAUAUGGGGCCUCAUGCUGACCCUCUCUGGUCCUACCUUUUUCCACCUGGACAAGGAAGCCUGGACUGGACCUUCUUUACAGGCUGAGGCAGACAUUUGUGUACCUGCCUGCCUGGACUGCAUUCUGUCUCAAGAAGAAAUGCCCACCACAAGCUCAGGUCAUAUGGAGAAGCCACCCUAGCUCCAGGGGUGGCCUGGCUAAUCAGAACCCCCCAUCUCCCAGGUCACAGUGAUUGGUUUGAGAUGGGCAUGUGAUCCAAUGGGAGGUUUCCCCUGGAAUUUUGCUGGAAAAGUGCAAAAAGUACCAUCUUCCUUCUGUGGUUGUUGAGCUGGGCAGAUAGAAGGGGCAGCCUGAGAACAUUGCAUGGGGCCCUGGAUCCAGCUGUACCUGAUACUAGCAAAUCCCAAUUCUUCAGUUUCACGAGUCCCUAAAAUUUUUUUGUCAGAA